UUGUUAUCGAGAAAGGUGGAGGGAAUAGACCCUAUGAAACCUUAGCAACCCUUUAUCCCGUAAAGAAGGUGCUACAUUCUAUCCGUUAUAACGGUAUAGAUAACCA
rnacentral:ncRNA from 1 species